rnacentral:rRNA from 1 species
CUGGUUACCAAUCAACGCUGGCGGCGGUAAGCACAUGCAAGUCGAACGAGUAUCGGCGGGGGCAACCGGCUAAAAGUGGCGUACGGGUGAGUAACACGUGGAUGUCUACCUCUUAGUGGGGAAUAACCUGGGAAACCGGCGCUAAUACCGCAUAGCCGAGAGAGGGCACAGCAAUGCGCUGAGAAACUGAGCCCGCGGUUCGGGCUAGUUGGUGAGGUAAGAGCUCACCAAGGCAAAGAUCGAUAGCCGGCCUGAGAGGGCACACGGCCGACCGCACUGAAACACGGGCCAGACCCGCGGGAGGCAGCAGUGUGAUAUCUUGCACAAUGGGGGCAACCCUGAUGCAGCGACGCCGCGUGAACGAUGAAGCCCUUCGGGGUGUAAAGUUUAGCUCGGCAGGGACGAUAAUGAAUUACCUGCAGAAGCAGCUGCGGCGUCCUACGUGCCAGCAGCCGCGGUAAUACGUAGGCAGCGAGCGACUGUCGGAGUUACUGGGUACAAAGG